GACGAACGCUGGCGGCGUGCUUAACACAUGCAAGUCGAACGGACAGGCCCUGCUUUUGUGGGGUGCUCGAGUGGCGAACGGGUGAGUAACACGUGAGUAACCUGCCCUUGACUUUGGGAUAACUUCAGGAAACUGGGGCUAAUACCGGAUAGGAGCUCCUGCUGCAUGGUGGGGGUUGGAAAGUUUCGGCGGUUGGGGAUGGACUCGCGGCUUAUCAGCUUGUUGGUGGGGUAGUGGCUUACCAAGGCUUUGACGGGUAGCCGGCCUGAGAGGGUGAACGGGCACAUGGGGACUGAGAGACGGACCAGACUGCUACGGGAGGCAGCAGUGGGGAAUAUGACACAGUGGGCGGAAGCCUGAGGCAGCAGCGCCGGGUGCGGGAUGACGGGCUUCGGGGUGUAAACCGCUUUCGCCUGUGACGAAGCGUGAGUGACGGUAAUGGGUAAAGAAGCACCGGCUAACUACGUG
rnacentral:rRNA from 1 species